rnacentral:rRNA from 1 species
UNUGACUUGAGUGCAGAAGGGGAGAGUGGAAUUCCAUGUGUAGCGGUGAAAUGCGUAGAUAUAUGGAGGAACACCAGUGGCGAAAGCGGCUCUCUGGUCUGUCACUGACGCUGAGGCUCGAAAGCGUGGGUAGCGAACAGGAUUAGAUACCCUGGUAGUNCACGCCGUAAACGAUGAGUGCUAGGUGUUAGGCCCUUUCCGGGGCUUAGUGCCGGAGCUAACGCAAUAAGCACUCCGCCUGGGGAGUACGACCGCAAGGUUGAAACUCAAAGGAAUUGACGGGGGCCCGCACAAGCGGUGGAGCAUGUGGUUUAAUUCGAAGCAACGCGAAGGACCUUACCAGGUCUUGACAUCCCGAUGCUAUUCUUAGAGAUAGGAAGUUACUUCGGUACAUCGGAGACAGGUGGUGCAUGGUUGUCGUCAGCUCGUGUCGUGAGAUGUUGGGUUAAGUCCCGCAACGAGCGCAACCCUUAUUGUUAGUUGCCAUCAUUAAGUUGGGCACUCUAGCGAGACUGCCGGUAAUAAACCGGAGGAAGGUGGGGAUGACGUCAAAUCAUCAUGCCCCUUAUGACCUGGGCUACACACGUGCUACAAUGGUCGGUACAACGAGUUGCGAGCCGGUGACGGCAAGCUAAUCUCUGAAAGCCGAUCUCAGUUCGGAUUGGAGGCUGCAACUCGCCUCCAUGAAGUCGGAAUCGCUAGUAAUCGCGGAUCAGCACGCCGCGGUGAAUACGUUCCCGGGCCUUGUACACACCGCCCG